rnacentral:rRNA from 1 species
CCUACGGGUGGCAGCAGUGAGGAAUAUUGGUCAAUGGGCGCUAGCCUGAACCAGCCAAGUAGCGUGAAGGAUGACUGCCCUAUGGGUUGUAAACUUCUUUUAUAUAGGAAUAAAGUGCAGUAUGUAUACUUCUUUGCAUGUACCUUAUGAAUAAGGAUCGGCUAACUCCGUGCCAGCAGCCGCGGUAAUACGGAGGAUCCGAGCGUUAUCCGGAUUUAUUGGGUUUAAAGGGAGCGUAGUCGGGUUGUUAAGUCAGUUGUGAAAGUUUGCGGCUCAACCGUAAAAUUGCAAUUGAUACUGGCAUCCUUGAGUACAGUAGAGGUAGGCGGAAUUCGUGGUGUAGCGGUGAAAUGCUUAGAUAUCACGAAGAACUCCGAUUGCGAAGGCAGCCUGCUGGACUGUAACUGACGCUGAUGCUCGAAAGUGUGGGUAGCAAACAGGAUUAGAUACCCUGGUAGUC